CUUGUUGGUAGGGUAGUGGCCUACCAAGGUGGUAACGGGUAACGGGGAAUCAGGGUUUGAUUCCGGAGAGGGAGCCUUAGAAACGGCUACCACGUCCAAGGAAGGCAGCAGGCGCGCAAAUUACCCACUCUAGACACUGGGAGGUAGUGACGAGAAAUAACGGGGGUGCCCUAAGGGCGCCGUCUGUAAUGAACGAAACACAAAAGCGUCGGUGAGGACCUACUGGAGGGCAAGUCUGGUGCCAGCAGCCGCGGUAAUUCCAGCUCCAGUAGUGUAUAUCAACAUUGUUGCGCUUAAAACGCUCGUAGUUGGGUUGCGACCGCACGCCGCCGUUGAAAGACGGCGGUUAGGCAGUUUGUACUGUGGUGCGUGAGUGAGUGCCGGUCGGGGCCGCGUUUGAAUAGGCGGCCUCCAACCCGGCAAAGUGUGCCUUGAAUAAAGCAUGAUGCUAAAAGUGAGCCUGAGGCUGGAGUGUAAUAGCAUGGAACGACGAGUGACCAAGGGUGCGCCCGCCCCGAACGACAGGGGGGUCAAUGGCCGAGAGGAAAGUUUGCGGGCACUCGUACUUUGGGGCGAGAGGUGAAAUUCUGAGACCCCCAAGAGACGGCCUACUGCGAAGGCAUUUGCCAAAGAUGUUUCCGUUGAUCAAGAACGAAGGUCAGAGGAUCGAAGACGAUCAGAUACCGUCCUAGUUUUGACAGAAAACUCUGCCGGCGUAGGUGGGCGGCGACCACUCGACAGGAGACGAGUCACCGCGGACCUUGGGGGAAACCUGAGCUUUCGGGCUGCUGGGAGAAUAUCGCUGCAAGGCUGAAAUUUAAAGAAAUUGACGGAGAGGCACCACCAGGAGUGGAGCUUGCGGCUUAAUUUGACUCAACACGGGGAAACUCACCGGGUCCAGACAUUGGGAGGAUUGACAGAGUGGUGGAUCUUUCACGAUUCGGUGGAUGGUGGUGCAUGGCCGUUCUUAGUUGGUGGAGUGAUUUGUCAGGUUUAUUCCGGUAACGAGCGAGAC
rnacentral:rRNA from 1 species